GACGAACGCUGGCGGCGUGCCUAAUACAUGCAAGUUGAGCGCUGAAGGUUGGUCCUUGUACCAACUGGAUGAGCAGCGAACGGGUGAGUAACGCGUGGGGAAUCUGCCUUUGAGUGGGGGACAACAUUUGGAAACGAAUGCUAAUACCGCAUAAAAACUUUAAACACAAGUUUUAAGUUUGAAAGAUGCAAUUGCAUCACUCAAAGAUGAUCCCGCUUUGUAUUAGCUAGUUGGUGAGGUAAAGGCUCACCAAGGUGAUGAUACAUAGCCGACCUGAGAAGGUGGUCGGCCACAUUGGGACUGAGACACGGCCCAAACUCCUACAGGAAGCAGCAGUAGGGAAUCUUUGGCAAUGGACGAAAGGCUGACCGAGCAACGACGCGGGAGUGAAGAAGGUUUUCGGAUCGUAAAACUCUGUUGGUAGAGAAGAACGAUGGUGAGAGUGGAAAGCGCAUCAAGUGACGGUAACUACCCAGAAAGGAACGGCUAACUACGUG
rnacentral:rRNA from 1 species